GAUGAACGCUGGCGGCGUGCCUAAGACAUGCAAGUCGAGUGGGUUUAGACCCACGGCAAACGGGUGAGUAAUACCUAGGAACGUACCAUAAGUCGAGGAUAACCCAUCGAAAGGUGGAAUAAUACUCGAUGUGACCGCAAGGUUAAAGUCGCAAGACGCUUAUGAAGCGGCCUGGGCACCAUCAGCUAGUUGGUAAGGUAAUGGCUUACCAAGGCUAUGACGGUUAGGGGCCCCGAGAGGGGGAAACCUCCACACUGGAACUGAGACACGGUCCAGACUCCUACGGGAGGCAGCAGUUUGGAAUUUUGGACAAUGGGCGAAGCCUGAUCCAGCGACGCCGCGUGGUGGAUGAAGGUCUUCGGAUCGUAAACACCUUUUGUAUGGGACGAAUUUUUAUGACGGUACCAUGCGAAUAAGAGGUUGCUAACUCUGUGCCAGCAGCCGCGGUAAU
rnacentral:rRNA from 1 species